AAAAUAUCAAUAAAGUAACAUAAAUAUAAUAACUUAUUCCAGAGAAAUAGUAAACUAAAUUAUCAAUUCUCACAUAAAAAUACAAGAUAAUUCUAAAUAUCCAUAAUGUUGACACUGAGGGGUGAUAGCUCAGUGGGCUAGCAUUCUGGCCAGUCCCUUGGACCCAUGACACUUAAGUUGUUACGCCAUAAGAGUUUUGAGUUGUAUCUCUGCUAAAUGUUUAAGCUUUUGGCACGAUGGUA
rnacentral:misc_RNA from 1 species